GACGAACGCUGGCGGCGUGCUUAACACAUGCAAGUCGAACGAUGAAACAGGAGCUUGCUCCUCUGGAUUAGUGGCGAACGGGUGAGUAACACGUGAGCAACCUGCCCCUGACUCCGGAAUAACUACUGGAAACUGUAGCUAAUACCGGAUAUGCGACGGACAGGCAUGGGCACCUGCGGGAAAGAAUUUCGGUCGGGGAUGAGCUCGCGGCCUAUCAGCUUGUUGGUGAGGUAAUGGCUCACCAAGGCGACGACGGGUAGCCGGCCUGAGAGGGUGACCGGCCACACUGGGACUGAGACACGGCCCAGACUCCUACGGGAGGCAGCAGUGGGGAAUAUUGCACAAUGGGCGAAAGCCUGAUGCAGCAACGCCGCGUGAGGGAUGACGGCCUUCGGGUUGUAAACCUCUUUCAGCAGGGAAGAAGCGAAAGUGACGGUACCUGCAGAAAAAGCGCCGGCUAACUACGUG
rnacentral:rRNA from 1 species